rnacentral:lncRNA from 1 species
CAAAUAUUUAAGACAGUGAUUUUAUGUUUAGAUGCCUUUUUAAUAAAGAGCAUGAAGGGCAGAGUGAAAUAACUACAGACUGCUGCUUUGCCUAAACUUAGAACACCCUCCAAUUGAGAACUAAGUGAAUUCAUCUCUUCCAAUCAUUGCUGUAAAUAUCUACUUUCCUGCCCGUAAACCACUAACAUCCUAUUGUUUUCUAUAAGCCACAAGCAAUACUCUCAAACAAGCUGUCACUCAGAAGCUCUAUUGGAAAAUGAGGCAGACAUUCCUUGAAUUUCUACAAGCACGAUGAGGGCCCAGAGGUAUUACAGCAGAGGGAGCCACAGAAAUAAUAAGAAAUUGAGACAAUGGACAAA